CUUCUUGCCCCGCAUGGAUGAAGACUUCUGCCGGUCUGGAUGUCCUCUUCUGCCCCAUCGGAUGAAGACUUCGGCCCGGCUGGGUGAACACAACUCAAGGUUUUCGUGGCAAGUGAGUUAAAGCUUGACUUGGUUUGCAGUGUAAAACAUCAGAGGAGGAAAAAAAUAGUCUAUCAACAGGGGCAGUUGGCAGGAGUGUGACCUAGCUUCAUUCAACUGGAUCCACGGUGUAGACCCAUCAUUAAGAGCAGCCACUCCUACUUGCCCAACCUUGUUCCUCCAUUUGACAAAGGGCUUCAAGUUUUGUUUUCUAAAAGCAAAAGUUUUACUUUAAUAAAGUCUUCUAUGUUA